rnacentral:rRNA from 1 species
UGGGGAAUAUUGGACAAUGGGCGCAAGCCUGAUCCAGCCAUGCCGCGUGAGUGAUGAAGGCUCUAGGGUUGUAAAGCUCUUUCGCCGGGGAAGAUAAUGACGGUACCCGGAGAAGAAGCCUCGGCUAACUCCGUGCCAGCAGCCGCGGUAAUACGAAGGGGACUAGCGUUGUUCGGAAUCACUGGGCGUAAAGCGCACGUAGGCGGAUUUGUAAGUCAGGGGUGAAAUCCCGGGGCUCAACCUCGGAACUGCCUUUGAUACUGCGGAUCUCGAGUCCGAUAGAGGUGAGUGGAAUUCCUAGUGUAGAGGUGAAAUUCGUAGAUAUUAGGAAGAACACCGGUGGCGAAGGCGGCCCACUGGCUCGAUACUGACGCUGAGGUGCGAAAGCGUGGGGAGCAAACAGGAUUAGAUACCCCCGUAGUCCCUGAGCGGGCUGGCAAGGCGCAU